GACAGAUUCAUACAUGACAAUAGCUGACAGACUUUUGUGCAGACAGAUGGCAACCGGCAAGGCCACUACCCUGUACUCUGGCUCCAACCUCCAGCCCCAACAGCAUCAAUACAAGGAUUGCCUUCUCCUUGAACAGACCAAUGUUCUGAACAAAGAAACACCUUUCGCUAUUCCUGCCUUAUCCUGCCUGAUCAGGUUUGGGAUCUGCUUGCAGCACAUCCAACUGUCUCACCAGGAAUAACAAGCCUCAGAGCGCCUCAAAAGCUUCCAAGUGAUCUGCAUCAACCAGAGAUAAUUGUCUGAAACAAAACAAAAUAAUGAAGAGGUAUAUUCAGGCUAUUACAAUUCGCAGAGAGCAAUCACAAGGCCUUUUCUUGAAAAGAGGUGCAAUAAAUUGAUCUACAUCAAAACAGCAAAGCCCCAAGAGCACAAAGAGAACUAGAUUUCAGGAAUGGCAUGAAGAGUUCCGUUUAUCAAAUAUUUCUUGUGUCCCUACAGUGUGUCUAAUACUCUAUUAAGUGGAAUAUAUAUAAAAGUUACCACAUCAUCUCCUUUCAAAAGGGGGCAAGAGUCUACAAUGAAAUUCCUUUGUUUGAUUUCCUCUGUUCCUGAUUCCUGGCCUCCUCUCUCAU